UCUUAGCGGCGGACGGGUGAGUAAUGCUYABGAAUCUGCCUAUUAGUGGGGGACAACAUUUCGAAAGGAAUGCUAAUACCGCAUACGUCCUACGGGAGAAAGCAGGGGAUCUUCGGACCUUGCGCUAAUAGAUGAGCCUAAGUYGGAUUAGCUAGUUGGUGGGGUAAAGGCCUACCAAGGCGACGAUCUGUAGCGGGUCUGAGAGGAUGAUCCGCCACACUGGGACUGAGACACGGCCCAGACUCCUACGGGAGGCAGCAGUGGGGAAUAUUGGACAAUGGGCGCAAGCCUGAUCCAGCCAUGCCGCGUGUGUGAAGAAGGCCUUAUGGUUGUAAAGCACUUUAAGCGAGGAGGAGGCUACUUUAGUUAAUACCUAGAGAUAGUGGACGUUACUCGCAGAAUAAGCACCGGCUAACUCUGUGCCAGCAGCCGCGGUAAUACAGAGGGUGCAAGCGUUAAUCGGAUUUACUGGGCGUAAAGCGCGCGUAGGCGGCUAAUUAAGUCAAAUGUGAAAUCCCCGAGCUUAACUUGGGAAUUGCAUUCGAUACUGGUUAGCUAGAGUGUGGGAGAGGAUGGUAGAAUUCCAGGUGUAGCGGUGAAAUGCGUAGAGAUCUGGAGGAAUACCGAUGGCGAAGGCAGCCAUCUGGCCUAACACUGACGCUGA
rnacentral:rRNA from 1 species